CCUACGGGAGGCAGCAGUGGGGAAUAUUGCACAAUGGGGGAAACCCUGAUGCAGCGACGCCGCGUGAGUGAAGAAGUAAUUCGUUAUGUAAAGCUCUAUCAGCAGGGAAGAAAAUGACGGUACCUGAGUAAGAAGCCCCGGCUAACUACGUGCCAGCAGCCGCGGUAAUCCGUAGGGGGCAAGCGUUAUCCGGAUUUACUGGGUGUAAAGGGAGCGUAGACGGCAGUGCAAGUCUGGAGGGAAAGGCGGGGGCUCAACCCCCGGACUGCUCUGGAAACUGUACGGCUGGAGUGCAGGAGAGGUAAGUGGAAUUCCUGGUGUAGCGGUGAAAUGCGUAGAUAUUAGGAGGAACACCAGUGGCGAAGGCGGCUUACUGGACUGUAACUGACGUUGAGGCUCGAAAGCGUGGGGAGCAAACAGGAUUAGAUACCCCAGUAGUC
rnacentral:rRNA from 1 species